CCUACGGGUGGCAGCAGUCGAGAAUCAUUCACAAUGGGGGAAACCCUGAUGGUGCGACGCCGCGUGGGGGAAUGAAGGUCUUCGGAUUGUAAACCCCUGUCAUGUGGGAGCAAAUUAAAAAGAUAGUACCACAAGAGGAAGAGACGGCUAACUCUGUGCCAGCAGCCGCGGUAAUACAGAGGUCUCAAGCGUUGUUCGGAAUCACUGGGCGUAAGGCGUGCGUAGGCUGUUUCGUAAGUCGUGUGUGAAAGGCGCGGGCUCAACCCGCGGACGGCACAUGAUACUGCGAGACUAGAGUAAUGGAGGGGGAACCGGAAUUCUCGGUGUAGCAGUGAAAUGCGUAGAUAUAGAGAGGAACACUCGUGGCGAAGGCGGGUUCCUGGACAUUAACUGACGCUGAGGCACGAAGGCCAGGGGAGCGAAAGGGAUUAGAUACCCCAGUAGUC
rnacentral:rRNA from 1 species